AGAGUUUGAUCAUGGCUCAGGAUGAACGCUAGCGGCAGGCUUAACACAUGCAAGUCGAACGGCAGCAGGUCCUUCGGGAUGCUGGCGAGUGGCAAACGGGUGAGGAACACGUACGCAACAUGCCCUUUUCUGGGAGAUAGCCCGGAGAAAUCCGGAUUAAUAUCCCAUAGCAUCACAGGCUGGCAUCAGUCAGUGAUUAAAGAAUUUCGGAAAAGGAUUGGCGUGCGUCCCAUUAGGUAGUUGGUUGGGGUAACGGCCCACCAAGCCGACGAUGGGUAGCUGGUGUGAGAGCAUGACCAGCCACACGGGCACUGAGACACGGGCCCGACUCCUACUGGGAGGCAGCAGUGACGGAAUAUUGGUCAAUGGAGGCAACUCUGAACCAGCCACGUCGCGUGAAGGAUGACGGCCCUACGGGUUGUAAACUUCUUUUAUACAGGAAUAAAGUGAGUCACGUGUGACUUUUUGCAUGUACUGUAUGAAUAAGGAUCGGCUAACUCCGUGCCAGCAGCCGCGGUAAUACGGAGGAUCCAAGCGUUAUCCGGAUUUAUUGGGUUUAAAGGGUGCGCAGGCGGAAGAUUAAGUCGGCGGUGAAAUUUUGCAGCUCAACUGUAAAAGUGCCAUCGAUACUGGUUUUCUUGAGUGUGGAUGAAGUAGGCGGAAUUUGUGGUGUAGCGGUGAAAUGCAUAGAUAUCAGGAGGAACUCCGAUUGCGCAGGCAGCUUACUAGGCCGUAACUGACGCUCAGGCACGAAGGCGUGGGGAUCAAACACGGAUUAGAUACCCUGGUAGUCCACGCAGUAAACAUGAUUACUCGCUGUUUGCGAUACACAGUAAGCGGCUUAGCGAAAGCGUUAAGUAAUCCACCUGGGAGUAAUGUUUCCAGAAUGAAACUCAAAGGAAUUGACGGGGCCGCCACAGCGGAGGAACAUGUGGUUAAUUCGAUGAUACGCGAAGAACCUUAC
rnacentral:rRNA from 1 species